GGACAGCCUUCUGAAAGGAAGAUUAAUACAAGAUGGCAUCAUGAGUCCGCAUGUUCACAUGAUUAAAGGUAUUCCGGUAGACGAUGGGGAUGCGUUCCAUUAGAUAGUAGGCGGGGUAACGGCCCACCUAGUCUUCGAUGGAUAGGGGUUCUGAGAGGAAGGUCCCCCACAUUGGAACUGAGACACGGUCCAAACUCCUACGGGAGGCAGCAGUGAGGAAUAUUGGUCAAUGGGCGAGAGCCUGAACCAGCCAAGUAGCGUGAAGGAUGACUGCCCUAUGGGUUGUAAACUUCUUUUAUAAAGGAAUAAAGUCGGGUAUGCAUACCCGUUUGCAUGUACUUUAUGAAUAAGGAUCGGCUAACUCCGUGCCAGCAGCCGCGGUAAUACGGAGGAUCCGAGCGUUAUCCGGAUUUAUUGGGUUUAAAGGGAGCGUAGAUGGAUGUUUAAGUCAGUUGUGAAAGUUUGCGGCUCAACCGUAAAAUUGCAGUUGAUACUGGAUAUCUUGAGUGCAGUUGAGGCAGGCGGAAUUCGUGGUGUAGCGGUGAAAUGCUUAGAUAUCACGAAGAGCCCCGAUUGCGAAGGCAGCCUGCUAAGCUGCAACUGACAUUGAGGCUCGAAAGUGUGGGUAUCAAACAGGAUUAGAUACCCUGGUAGUCCACACGGUAAACGAUGAAUACUCGCUGUUUGCGAUAUACUGCAAGCGGCCAAG
rnacentral:rRNA from 1 species